UACGAAGGGGGCUAGCGUUGUUCGGAAUCACUGGGCGUAAAGCGCACGUAGGCGGAUCUUUAAGUCAGGGGUGAAAUCCCGAGGCUCAACCUCGGAACUGCCUUUGAUACUGGGGAUCUCGAGUCCGGGAGAGGUGAGUGGAACUGCGAGUGUAGAGGUGAAAUUCGUAGAUAUUCGCAAGAACACCAGUGGCGAAGGCGGCUCACUGGCCCGUCGUAGACGCUGAGGUGCGAAAGCGUGGGGAGCAAACAGG
rnacentral:rRNA from 1 species